rnacentral:rRNA from 1 species
GCUUAACACAUGCAAGUCGAGGGGCAUCAUGGCAGUUGCUUGCAACUACCGAUGGCGACCGGCGCACGGGUGAGUAACGCGUAUCCAACCUUCCCCCCAGUAGGGCAUAGCCCGGCGAAAGUCGGAUUAAUACCCUAUGUUCUUCGUUGCGGGCAUCUAAGAUGAAGCAAAGACUUGUCGCUGAGGGAUGGGGAUGCGUCUGAUUAGGUAGUCGGCGGGGUAACGGCCCACCGAGCCUUCGAUCAGUAGGGGUUCUGAGAGGAAGGUCCCCCACAUUGGUACUGAGACACGGACCAAACUCCUACGGGAGGCAGCAGUGAGGAAUAUUGGUCAAUGGGCGAGAGCCUGAACCAGCCAAGUAGCGUGCAGGAUGACGGCCCUACGGGUUGUAAACUGCUUUUGCGGGGGAAUAAAGUCGGCCACGCGUGGCCGUUUGCAUGUACCCCGAGAAUAAGGACCGGCUAAUUCCGUGCCAGCAGCCGCGGUAAUACGGAAGGUCCGGGCGUUAUCCGGAUUUAUUGGGUUUAAAGGGAGCGCACGCUGAUGGUUUAGCGUGACGUGAAAUGUGG